UACAGAGGUCUCGAGCGUUAGGCGGAAUCACUGGGCUUAAAGCGUGUGUAGGCGGAUCGUUAAGUGCCUUGUGCAAUCCCACGGCUCAACCGUGGAACUGCUUGGCAUACUGGCGGUCUUGAGCAACCUAGGGGCGAGCGGAACAAAUGGUGGAGCGGUGAAAUGCGUAGAUAUCAUUUGGAACGCCAAUGGUGAAAACAGCUCGCUGGGGGUUUGCUGACGCUGAGACACGAAAGCCAGGGGAGCAAACGGG
rnacentral:rRNA from 1 species